AGGAAAUUAAGUACGGAAGUUCCUGAUUUCACGCUGUCAAGAAAAGCCUCUAGGAAGAGUAGUACUGCCCGUACCGCAAACCGACACAGGUAGAUGAGGAGAGAAUCCUAAGGUGAGCGAGAGAACUCUCGUUAAGGAACUCGGCAAAAUGACCCCGUAACUUCGGGAGAAGGGGUGCUCUAUUAGGGUGCAAGCCCGAGAGAGCCGCAGUGAAUAGGCCCAGGCGACUGUUUAGCAAAAACACAGGUCUCUGCAAAACCGUAAGGUGACGUAUAGGGGCUGACGCCUGCCCGGUGCUGGAAGGUUAAGAGGAGUGCUUAGCUUCGGCGAAGGUACGAAUUGAAGCCCCAGUAAACGGCGGCCGUAACUAUAACGGUCCUAAGGUAGCGAAAUUCCUUGUCGGGUAAGUUCCGACCCGCACGAAAGGCGCAACGAUCUGGGCACUGUCUCAACGAGAGACUCGGUGAAAUUAUAGUACCUGUGAAGAUGCAGGUUACCCGCGACAGGACGGAAAGACCCCGUGGAGCUUUACUGCAACCUGAUAUGGAAUGUUUGUACCGCUUGUACAGGAUAGGUAGGAGCCGAAGAGACGUGUGCGCUAGCAUACGAGGAGGCAAUGGUGGGAUACUACCCUGGCUGUAUGACCAUUCUAACCCGCCACGCUUAGCGCGUGGGGAGACAGUGUCAGGUGGGCAGUUUGACUGGGGCGGUCGCCUCCUAAAGAGUAACGGAGGCGCCCAAAGGUUCCCUCAGAAUGGAUGGAAAUCAUUCGCAGAGUGUAAAGGCACAAGGGAGCUUGACUGCGAGACUGACAAGUCGAGCAGGGACGAAAGUCGGGCUUAGUGAUCCGGUGGUUCCGCAUGGAAGGGCCAUCGCUCAACGGAUAAAAGCUACCCCGGGGAUAACAGGCUUAUCUCCCCCAAGAGUCCACAUCGACGGGGAGGUUUGGCACCUCGAUGUCGGCUC
rnacentral:rRNA from 1 species